CUACGGGCUGCUCCAGUGGGGAAUAUUGGACAAUGGGGGAAACCCUGAUCCAGCAAUGCCGCGUGUGUGAAGAAGGCCUGCGGGUUGUAAAGCACUUUCGGUUGGGAGGACUGCUUCUAGCACUAAUAUUGUUGGAAGUUGACGUUACCUUCAGAAGAAGCACCGGCUAACUCCGUGCCAGCAGCCGCGGUAAUACGGAGGGUGCAAGCGUAAAUCGGAAUUACUGGGCGUAAAGCGCGCGUAGGCGGCUAGAUCAGUCGGGUGUGAAAGCCCCGGGCUUAACCUGGGAACUGCAUCCGAUACUGUCUAGCUUGAGUACAGGAGAGGAGAGUGGAAUUCCACAUGUAGCGGUGAAAUGCGUAGAUAUGUGGAGGAAAACCAAUGGCGAAGGCAGCUCUCUGGCCUGAUACUGACGCUGAGGUGCGAAAGCGUGGGGAGCAAACAGGAUUAGAUACCCGAGUAGUC
rnacentral:rRNA from 1 species